AUGGCAUACCAUGGCCAGGGCCACAAAGUGCAGAAGGUGACGCCAUAGCCCAAAUGUCACUUCGGAUACUUGCAAAAUAGUGCCUGUGUGGCUCUGUAAGCAAAUAAAUAUGCAAAUAAUGAGCUGUAUCAUUGGUUUCAAUUAACAUAUGAAGCUUGCAUUAGAUGAUGAGGAAGAGAUUAUUUUAAAGCAGUGAAGAAAACAACUAGAUUACAUUAUGCUAAAAGGAGAUAUUAUUGCUCUGGUAUAAAAUGUCCCCA
rnacentral:lncRNA from 1 species